GCACAGCAUGUACUAACCAUAGCACUACUGCUUUCAACAGCACGAAGUGUGCCCCAACAGUACUGACAUACCGACUCUAUCAGCACACAGUAUGUUCUCAUUUUAUAUAUCUAAUUUCGAGAGGAAUGUUAAACAACAUACAAGCAAUCAUUCGAUGUAAUUCUGUGAAAAGAUUCCAUGUCUCCCCAUCCUCAUGCAGUUUUUGAAAACCAAUACAGGAAAGGUCCUAAAGAGUGCCCCAGGCCAAGUUGUGGAUCAUUUAUUAGGAAAAAUACGACCCUAUAUACUUGGAAGGAAUGAAGUGGUGUUGUAAAAACAGCUGGAACUCUAUUGCACAGCUUUAAUUAGACUGAUCUGGUGCUGCUUGGAUGUCUAUAAACACUGUCACUUGGGGAUUCCAAGUAUGUGGACAAAAUUUGUGAUCAAAUGUGGUGAAAACAGAUUUCACUAUCCAUGUAUUUGAUGGAAAUUUCUGUACAAGUGGGCCUCAGAUUUUACUUUGUUUGAAGUGGAACCCUCAUUUUGAUUAAGGAGGAAUGGUACACCAGAGAAAUUUGAUACGGAUGAAAAGUGGACUAGCGAUAUGUACAACAAUAUUUUGAAAUUGAAAACUUUCAAAUUUACUUUAUUUAGUCAAAAAAAUGCAGUUUUAGUAGAAAGCAAUCUGAAUUUUUUUUUUUAAAUCCCUGCUGAACUCGAACCCGUGAUCUACAGUUCAGCAGUCGAUGUGCUAACCUACUGAGCAACUCAGCUAGGCAAUGAUUUUAGAUAUGAAUAGACAAAUAUUACUGAUAUUUAUAUUUUCAUUCAUGUUUUAUAAGAAAGUCAGCCAUUAUGAUGAUGUAGAGUACCUCCUUAAGGAAUAAGAAGAGAAAUGGUUGUACAUGUAGCUGAUUUUGUUGUACACAGAGAGUACUGUAGUCAAAAGAUCAGACACCUGCAUUUUCUCAACGUGCCUACUUUUGUGCGUACUUUAACAUGGAAUUCAUUGCGUACUCCUCCAGGGAAUUCACAUAUUUUAAGGUAUUCAAUGUAUCAUGAUCAUAUUUCCUAUCUAAUAAAUGGAUGGUGUGAUUUUUGUAAUCAUAGUAUCAUUUUGAAGGGUUCAUCAAAUAAAAUAAUCCACCAUAGGAAUUUACAAAAAUUUUGAUUUUUACUUGAUUAAUGUUAAUGUUGACUGAUCACAUGAUCUAAAUAUUUUCCUGAAUGAUUUUUGUCUAAAGUUUCAUUCCUAUUGCAUUGCAUUUCAGCAAACCUUACUAAGGAGUUAAUCAAAUUUGGCACUUUGAUCAACUCCCAAUUUCCGAUUGGUUCAGUCUCCAGAAUUACCAUAGGUCAAGGUCACUGAAAAUAGGUUUUGAUAUUCAAGUUAAAAAGUUGGCAUUGGAGAAAAAUAACUUAAGUAGCCCUUAUUCGUUAGAAUUUUGGCAUAUGCUUCAAGUCUUUAAAAGACACUAAAAGAAAAAUAACCUAAAAGUAAGAGAUGUUGAUAAACAAUGGCAAUUUUCUAGAUUUCAGCAAAAUAUUUACAUGUCAUAUGUUUUUGAAUCUUUACCAUUUGUAAUGAUAGCCAUUUCCUCAGGAAUGGGAUGCAGUUGUGAACAAUGCACGUAUGAAUCUUAAUGGAGUACAUUUAUGCUAAUGGCUGGAGAUUCUGACAGAAAUGAAAACAGAAUGUAAAUAUAAAAAAUAAACUUCAGUUUAGUUUUGAAAAUACACAAGGGUAGGAAUUGCAACACUUCACCCCGACAUACAUUUCAUGAUGAACUAAUGCACUUCAUAGAGUAUGCUGGCAUGAAGCACCAUAGUUCAUGCCCUGAGGUAUUUCAACUAAUUACGUAUUUACAUUUCCAAUGUUUUUGCCUUUGAUAUCUCUGUAAAUUGUGAAGAUGGCCAUUUCCUCAUGAAUGCACUGCAGUUGUGAACAAUGCACGUAUGAAUCUUGA